rnacentral:rRNA from 1 species
AGAGUUUGAUCCUGGCUCAGAGUUAACGCUGGCGGCGUGCCUAACACAUGCAAGUCGAGCGAGCUUGUAGCAAUACAAGUUAGCGGCAAACGGGUGAGUAACACAUGGGAAACCUCCCUCAGAAUGGGGAACAUCUCCGAGAAAUCGGAGCUAAUACCGCAUAAGACCACAGUCCGGCAUCGGACAGGGGUAAAAGCAGCAAUGCGUUUUGAGAUGGUCCUGUGUCCUAUCAGCUAGUUGGUGAGGUAACGGCUCACCAAGGCUAAGACGGGUAUCCGGCCUGAAAGGGUGAACGGACACACUGGAACUGAGACACGGUCCAGACUCCUACGGGAGGCAGCAGUGGGGAAUUUUGGACAAUGGGGGAAACCCUGAUCCAGCGACGCCGCGUGAAGGAUGAAGGCCUUCGGGUUGUAAACUUCUUUUGGAGGGGACGAAUAAAUUGACGGUACCCUCAGAAAAAGCCACGGCUAACUACGUGCCAGCAGCCGCGGU